AUACGGAGGAUGCGAGCGUUAUCCGGAUUUAUCGGGUUUAAGGGGAGCGUAGGUGGGAUAUUAAGUCAGCUGUGAAAGUUUGGGGCUCAACCUUAAAAUUGCAGUUGAUACUGGUUUCCUUGAGUACGGUACAGGUGGGCGGAAUUCGUGGUGUAGCGGUGAAAUGCUUAGAUAUCACGAAGAACUCCGAUCGCGAAGGCAGCUCACCGGGCCGGAACUGACACUGAUGCUCGAAAGUGCGGGUAUCAAACAGGAUUAGAUACCCUGGUAGUCCGCACAGUAAACGAUGAAUACUCGCUGUUUGCGAUACACGGUAAGCGGCCAAGCGAAAGCGUUAAGUAUUCCACCUGGGGAGUACGCCGGCAACGGUGAAACUCAAAGGAAUUGACGGGG
rnacentral:rRNA from 1 species